rfam:Picea glauca, whole genome shotgun sequence.
UAUAACAUAGCGUGAAUGCAUCGGAUCCCAUUAGAAAUCUGCAGUUAAGCACACUCAGGUUAGAGUAGUACUGGGAUGGGUGACCACCUGGAAAUUUCUAGUGUUUUAC